CAGCCGCCGCGGUAAUACGUAGGGUGCAAGCGUUAAUCGGAAUUACUGGGCGUAAAGCGUGCGCAGGCGGUUUGUUAAGACAGAUGUGAAAUCCCCGGGCUCAACCUGGGAACUGCAUCUGUGACUGCAUCGCUGGAGUGCGGCAGAGGGGGAUGGAAUUCCGCGUGUAGCAGUGAAAUGCGUAGAUAUGCGGAGGAACACCGAUGGCGAAGGCAAUCCCCUGGGCCUGCACUGACGCUCAUGCACGAAAGCGUGGGGAGCAAACAGGAUUAGAUACCCAGUAGUCCCUGUCUCUUAUACA
rnacentral:rRNA from 1 species